UACGGGGGGGGGCAAGCGUUGUUCGGAAUUACUGGGCGUAAAGGGCUUGUAGGUGGCCAACUAAGUCAGACGUGAAAUCCCUCGGCUUAACCGGGGAACUGCGUCUGAUACUGGAUGGCUCGAGUUUGGGAGAGGGAUGCGGAAUUCCAGGUGUAGCGGUGAAAUGCGUAGAUAUCUGGAGGAACACCGGUGGCGAAGGCGGCAUCCUGGACCAACACUGACACUGAAAAGCGAAAGCCAGGGGAGCAAACGGG
rnacentral:rRNA from 1 species